UCCAAGGAUGACAUAAUUUGCGAUUGAGCUCGUCGUCGGAGACCCUCGCCGGGGUCUCUUAACGGCGGCGGGUUUAUGAUAUUCACUUCUUACAUAUUCUGAGU
rnacentral:snoRNA from 1 species